rnacentral:rRNA from 1 species
UACAGAGGUCUCAAGCGUUGUUCGGAUUCAUUGGGCGUAAAGGGUGCGUAGGCGGUCUGCUAAGUUUGAUGUGAAAUCCCGGGGCUCAACCCUGGAAUGGCAUUGAAUACUGGCGGACUAGAGUACCGGAGAGGAAACUGGAAUUUACGGUGUAGCAGUGAAAUGCGUAGAGAUCGUAAGGAAGACCAGUGGCGAAGGCGAGUUUCUGGACGGUAACUGACGCUGAGGCACGAAGGCCAGGGGAGCAAACGGG